GACGUCAUCCCUCUGUGCCGAAGCCAACGCGUUAAGUGUUCCGCCUGGGGAGUACGGCCGCAAGGCUAAAACUCAAAAGAAUUGACGGGGGCCCGCACAAGCAGCGGAGCAUGUGGAUUAAUUCGAUGCAACGCGAAGAACCUUACCUGGGUUUGACAUAUACCGGAAAGCUGCAGAGAUGUGGCCCCCCUUGUGGUCGGUAUACAGGUGGUGCAUGGCUGUCGUCAGCUCGUGUCGUGAGACGUUGGGUUAAGUCCCGCAACGAGCGCAACCCCUAUCUUAUGUUGCCAGCACGUUAUGGUGGGGACUCGUAAGAGACUGCCGGGGUCAACUCGGAGGAAGGUGGGGAUGACGUGUCGUUACCUUA
rnacentral:misc_RNA from 1 species